rnacentral:rRNA from 1 species
UACGAAGGGGGCUAGCGUUGCUCGGAAUCACUGGGCGUAAAGCGCACGUAGGCGGAUUGUUAAGUCGGGGGUGAAAUCCUGGAGCUCAACUCCAGAACUGCCUUCGAUACUGGCGAUCUUGAGUCCGGGAGAGGUGAGUGGAACUCCGAGUGUAGAGGUGAAAUUCGUAGAUAUUCGGAAGAACACCAGUGGCGUAGGCGGCUCACUGGCCCGGUACUGACGCUGAGGUGCGAAAGCGUGGGGAGCAAACAGC